rnacentral:rRNA from 1 species
UACGUAGGGUCCAAGCGUUAUCCGGAAUCACUGGGCGUAAAGCGUGCGUAGGCGGCGUGUUAAGUGUGAUGUUAAAUCGUGGGGCUCAACCCUGUCGGUGCGUCACAUACUGGCAUGCUAGAGGAAGGCAGAGGCAAGUGGAAUUUGUAGUGUAGCAGUGAAAUGCGUAGAUAUUACAAGGAACACCAAUGGCGAAGGCAGCUUGCUGGGCCUUUUCUGACGCUGAGGUACGAAAGCGUGGGGAGCGAACAGG